rnacentral:rRNA from 1 species
GAUGAACGCUGGCGGCGUGCCUAAUACAUGCAAGUCGAGCGAACGGACGAGAAGCUUGCUUCUCUGAUGUUAGCGGCGGACGGGUGAGUAACACGUGGAUAACCUACCUAUAAGACUGGGAUAACUUCGGGAAACCGGAGCUAAUACCGGAUAAUAUUUUUAACCGCAUGGUUCAAAAGUGAAAGAAGGUCUUGCUGUCACUUAUAGAUGGAUCCGCGCUGCAUUAGCUAGUUGGUAAGGUAACGGCUUACCAAGGCAACGAUGCAUAGCCGACCUGAGAGGGUGAUCGGCCACACUGGAACUGAGACACGGUCCAGACUCCUACGGGAGGCAGCAGUAGGGAAUCUUCCGCAAUGGGCGAAAGCCUGACGGAGCAACGCCGCGUGAGUGAUGAAGGUCUUCGGAUCGUAAAACUCUGUUAUUAGGGAAGAACAUAUGUGUAAGUAACUGUGCACAUCUUGACGGUACCUAAUCAGAAAGCCACGGCUAACUACGUG